UAAAGAUUCAUCGCUGAUAGAUAGGCAUGCGUUCCAUUAGGCAGUUGGCGGGGUAACGGCCCACCAAACCGACGAUGGAUAGGGGUUCUGAGAGGAAGGUCCCCCACAUUGGUACUGAGACACGGACCAAACUCCUACGGGAGGCAGCAGUGAGGAAUAUUGGUCAAUGGGCGUAAGCCUGAACCAGCCAAGUCGCGUGAGGGAUGAAGGUUCUAUGGAUCGUAAACCUCUUUUAUAAGGGAAUAAAGUGCGGGACGUGUCCCGUUUUGUAUGUACCUUAUGAAUAAGGAUCGGCUAACUCCGUGCCAGCAGCCGCGGUAAUACGGAGGAUCCGAGCGUUAUCCGGAUUUAUUGGGUUUAAAGGGUGCGUAGGCGGCCUUUUAAGUCAGCGGUGAAAGUCUGUGGCUCAACCAUAGAAUUGCCGUUGAAACUGGGAGGCUUGAGUAUGUUUGAGGCAGGCGGAAUGCGUGGUGUAGCGGUGAAAUGCUUAGAUAUCACGCAGAACCCCGAUUGCGAAGGCAGCCUGCCAAGCCAUGACUGACGCUGAUGCACGAAAGCGUGGGGAUCAAACAGGAUUAGAUACCCUGGUAGUCCACGCAGUAAACGAUGGUCACUAGCUGUUUGCGAUACACAGUAA
rnacentral:rRNA from 1 species